UUGCGCCCGAGGCCAUUCGGCCGAGGGCACGCCUGCCUGGGCGUCACGCAAAACACGCUCCCACCCCCUCAUCGGGGAGCGGGACGCGGCAUGUGGCCCCCCGUCGCGCAAGGGGCGGUGGGCCGAAGAUAUGGCUGCCGGCGUAUCGUGCUGGACACAGCGCGUGGUGGGCGACCUCGCUUUACUUCCGCAGUGCAUCUGGCGCGUAGCCGACAUGAUGGCCUUGAAGGACCCUAUGAACGGUGCGCACGACGCUCCGACCGCGACCCCAGGUCAGGCGGGACUACCCGCUGAAUUUAAGCAUAUAAAUAAGCGGAGGAGAAGAAACUUACAAGGAUUCCCCUAGUAACGGCGAGCGAACCGGGAACAGCCCAGCUUGAGAAUCGGGUGGCCGUGCU
rnacentral:rRNA from 1 species